rnacentral:rRNA from 1 species
AUACGUAGGUGACAAGCGUUAUCCGGAUUUACUGGGCGUAAAGGGCGUGUAGGCGGUCUUGCAAGUCAGAAGUGAAAUUCCUGAGCUCAACUCGGGCGCUGCUUCUGAAACUGCAGGACUUGAGUGCUGGAGGGGAUAGCGGAAUUCCUAGUGGAGCGGUAAAAUGCGCAGAUAUUAGGAAGAACACCGGUGGCGAAGGCGGCUAGCUGGGCAGUAGCUGACGCUGGGGCGCGAAAGCGUGGGGAACAAGCAGGAUUAGAUUCCCUGGUAGUCCACGCCGUAAACGAUGAUUACUAGGUGUUGGGGGUCGAACCUCAGCGCCCAAGCUAACGCGAUAAGUAAUCCGCCUGGGGAGUACGUACGCAAGGAUGAAACUCAAAGGAAUUGACGGGG